ACGCAUUACAUCGUAUCAAUAAGAAAGAAAGACUGGAUGGAAGGAAAUGAAUGAAUUAAGAAAGAUAAAGAAAGAAGAAAGGAGGAACUGAAGAAAGAAUGGGAUGAGUGGAUGAAAGGACGUAAGAAAGAAAAAUGAAUGAAUACAUGGAUAGAUGGAUGGAAAGAAGGAGAAAGGGAAGGAGUUAAGAAUGAAAAAGAAAGAAAUAAAGAAACGAAGAAAGAAAGAAGAAAGGAGGAAUCAAACAAAGGAUAAAGAAAGAAAGGAAAGAAUGGAUGGAAGGAAGGAGGAAAAGAAGGAAUAAAGAAAGAAAGAGAAAGGAAUGAAGAAAGGAAGGGAGAAAGAAGAAAAUGAUGGUGGCAAGGAAGGAAG